AUUUAUAUAGUUUAAUAAAAACAUUAGGUUUUCAUCCUAAAAAUAAACUUAUAUUUUUGUAAAUU
rnacentral:tRNA from 1 species